GACGAACGCUGGCGGCGUGCCUAAUACAUGCAAGUUGAGCGCUGAAGGUUGGUACUUGUACCAACUGGAUGAGCAGCGAACGGGUGAGUAACGCGUGGGGAAUCUGCCUUUGAGCGGGGGACAACAUUUGGAAACGAAUGCUAAUACCGCAUAAAAACUUUAAACACAAGUUUUAAGUUUGAAAGAUGCAAUUGCAUCACUCAAAGAUGAUCCCGCGUUGUAUUAGCUAGUUGGUGAGGUAAAGGCCCACCAAGGCGAUGAUACAUAGCCGACCUGAGAGGGGGAUCGGCCACAUUGGGACUGAGACACGGCCCAAACUCCUACGGGAGGCAGCAGGAGGGGAUCUUCGGCAAUGGACGAAAGUCUGAACGAGCAACGCCGCGGGAGGGAAGAAGGUUGUCGGAUCGUAAAACUCUGUUGGUAGAGAAGAACGUUGGUGAGAGUGGAAAGCUCAUCAAGUGACGGUAACUACCCAGAAAGGGACGGCUAACUACGUG
rnacentral:rRNA from 1 species